GCCAUCUGGAGUUUGUCUUAUGUUUUGGUGAAAAACAACUAGGGAUCGUUUCUCAGCAGUGCCCUCUUUAGCCUUUUGUUUACUGCUAUUUAGCUCUUUUUUUAGAUGUUUUUUUUAGCUAGUCUGGUAACUAGCUUGUUUCCACGUUUUUUCCACAUCAAAAAGCCCUCUGGAGUUUCACUUUUUAAUUCUUCUUGGUGCAAGCAACGCAGAUUAGUUUUUUCAUCGCUACCUACAAGUGCUACGUUGCUAGCUAAAACUUUCCCUCGUUUUCUCAACAAAGUCCUCUGAAGAAAGAGGAUUCGGUUCUACAGCAAUGGCUGCAUUUGUUUGCAUCAUUAGGUGAUCGUGCAAAGAGCUGGGAUAACGUGGCUGUGUUAGUUGACGAAACUAUUAAACCACAAG